GGAGGGGUUUCAAGUGCUAGUUCACAGUAUGAGGUAGGCAAGCGUGAGGGGAGCAACGCCUUGGGGGUGUCCUCCAAUCCAAAUAUGUAAAAGAAAGUAGGAUAAUGUGCAAAAUAUAGUGUAGUAUGUAGUAUUUUAAAAGGGUUCUUUAAUAGUAAAACGAGAGGUAAGACAAAAAAAAAAAAACUGUAUACCUAAGGGCAUAGAUUACCUCCUAACAUGCGCAUCACUGAGAGCCAAUAGUGGGCUCAUUACAUUGUGAGUGUACAACCACAUAAAAAACAUUUUCUGGUGUAUUGAAAUACUACACUAUAUUGGUUCUUUAUCUCUAUGUUCUAUGACAUCUGGAAUUCACCCACUGGAUCAAGACAUCAAAUAAAUCAACAGAUGGAGAUUGUACCGCCUAGGUGCAUACAUUUGGAACUAAUUAUGAGCUCCAGAAAACUGUAAGUGCAUUAAUUUU